rnacentral:misc_RNA from 1 species
GUGGACUUCGGGUGGGGGAAGCCCGAAUAUAUUGCGCCAUUGCUCGAUAACCUCAUUGUUGGGGUUGCUUACAUUGUUAGAUCACCGACCCCGAAAAAGGGUGUGCGUUUGAUCACACAAUGUGUUGUGGAAGAGAACUUGGCAACAUUACAAGAUGAGAUUGUGAAGGCUUUUGAAAUUUGAGUGUUUGAAGAAUUUGUU